rnacentral:rRNA from 1 species
GACGAACGCUGGCGGCGUGCUUAACACAUGCAAGUCGAACGGAAAGGCCCUGCUUUUGUGGGGUGCUCGAGUGGCGAACGGGUGAGUAACACGUGAGUAACCUGCCCUUGACUUUGGGAUAACUUCAGGAAACUGGGGCUAAUACCGGAUAGGAGCUCCUGCUGCAUGGUGGGGGUUGGAAAGUUUCGGCGGUUGGGGAUGGACUCGCGGCUUAUCAGCUUGUUGGUGGGGUAGUGGCUUACCAAGGCUUGGACGGGUAGCCGGCCUGAGAGGGUGACCGGCCACAUUGGGACUGAGAUACGGCCCAGACUCCUACGGGGGGCAGCAGUGGAGAAUAUUGCACGAUGGGCGGAGGCCGGAUGCAGCAACGCCGCGUGCGGGAUGACGGCCUUCGGGUUGUAAACCGCUUUCGCCUGUGACGAAGCGUGAGUGACGGUAAUGGGUAAAGAAGCACCGGCUAACUACGU